rnacentral:lncRNA from 1 species
GGGGCCGGAAGCGCGGCCAUUGGCCUAACUGAGUCCCGCUGCGAUGGGGUCGGAAGUAUGGCUGUUGCCUGGCUGGGAAGGCCUGGGUGGAGCUGAGCCAGGUCGGUCUCUGGGCCAUUGGAUGAGUCCCGAGGUUCCAGAGCGCUCGUCUAGAGGUUAGCGCCCUGCAGGCCUUGCUCUGGGGCUCUUCUGAUUUCCUGCAGGUGCAUAAAGGAGAUUGUUUCUUCCUGCUUGAUCUAGAACACUUUCCAGGGAAGUCCAGAAGCCAAGAAAACUAAUGUUCUUAAAUUCCGUCCCAUGUUCUUCAAGCAAAGCAGCUCUGAUAGCCAAAUACUGAAGGAGAGAGAGUCUUCGUGUGAUCCACUCUUAUGUCUCCAGUACUCCGUAAACAAGGGAUGUCACGCAAAAUGUCACAGGGGUGUGGGUGCCUAACCAGGUGACACCAGCUGGGCUGAUAGGAACAGGAUGCAACAAAAAGACUGCACCUAUCUGGGGAUAUGCACCAAGUUAUAACCGCUUAUAACUCCAGCACUAGGGUAACCCGACACCUCUGACCUCCACUGCCCACCAGAGAUAAACAAAGGAAUGCAUGCUUUUUACUUCCAGUCAAUUGUUUCAACAAGAAGUAAAAACUAACGUACUUAAAAAGAAGUAUCAGUUACCCUAGCAUGCCCAGAUGGUAGAAAUGUUUUAUAACUCAAUGUAGGUGGUGAGUACGCAGCUUGAGCAUAUGUAAAAAAAUCUAUCAACUGGGGCUGCUGAGAUGGCUCAGCAGGUAAGGGCACUUUUUGCCAAGCCAAAGAUCUGAGUCUGGUCUCUAUAAUCUGCAUGGUGGAAGGAGAACUAACUCCCCAAAGCAUUGGCAUUUAUCACCCCUCCCCCUAUAAAUGUAAAACAUGAAAAAAGUUGAAAAAAAUGCAUCAAUGACAUACUUAAUGUUACAAUUUCCAUGUUAAAGAGAGGCCUAAGGGAUUCAGUGGAGAUCACUGAGGUUUGAGCUGCCACCAAACAGAAUUAGUUGUGUGACAAAGAUGCCGGAACUCUUUGAAUGCGAUUAGAUUUUAUUAGUGUUUGUCUUAGGUUCCUGUUACUAUGAAGAGACAUUAUUAGCAUGGCAACUCUUAGAAAACAUUUAAUUGGGCUGGAGAGAUGGCUCAAUGGUUAGGAGCACUGGCUGCUCUUGCAGAGGUCCUGAGUUCAAAUCUCAGCAACCACAUGGUGGCUCACAACCAUCUGUAAUAAGAUCCGAUGCCUUCUUCUGGUGUGUCUGAAGACAGCUACAGUGUACUUAUAUGUAAUUAAAAAAAAAAAAGAAGA